UACGUAGGGCGCAAGCGUUGUCCGGAAUUAUUGGGCGUAAAGAGCUCGUAGGCGGUUUGUCGCGUCUGCUGUGAAAUCCCGAGGCUCAACCUCGGGUCUGCAGUGGGUACGGGCAGACUGGAGUGCGGUAGGGGAGAAUGGAAUUCCUGGUGUAGCGGUGGAAUGCGCAGAUAUCAGGAGGAACACCGAUGGCGAAGGCAGUUCUCUGGGCCGUAACUGACGCUGAGGAGCGAAAGCGUGGGGAGCGAACAGG
rnacentral:rRNA from 1 species